GUGCAACAUUUGUGUGAAAGCAAACAUAAUGCAAUGCGCAUGCGUCGCACGAAUCGUUUAACCAUCUUCACGAUGUAGAUGACGCUAUUAGUGUGUCAGUUUGUACCAGACAUAGGUCCGUAGUGUCCUCAUUAAUUACAGAUAUUUAAGAAUUCCACGAACUAGAGUAUAAGAGUACAGAAGUAGCAAGAACAGAGUUAAUAUAUUUUUCUUUAUAAUCCUGUAGCUGAAGGAUGCUAGUCGUGCAAUGUAUAUAUCCGGUAAAUAAAUUUCUUUUUUAAAUAUUUCCUCAAUAAUCGAAAAAGAAUAAAAAGAAGAUGAAAAAUAGAAAACAUAACCUUCAAAUCUAUAAUACGGAAGUUUGAAUUUUUCGAAGAAUUUUUCGCGUUUAUGUAGAUACAUAUGUGUAUAAGAAAAAUCAUUUAUUACGAACGUGUAUCCUCGCCGAACUCGACAUUCUUGUGUAUGAGUGCAUUGUCCGUGUGCCAAAAUGCCAGAGAGUUUAUUUUCAUUGUCUACAUUUAUAAACAGGUAUUUUCUAAGGAAUUAUAUAUGUGUAUGAAUAUCCCGCUCCAGUUCUUGGAAUUUUCAUAGGUAAAUUGUGUUCGAAUAUAUAUAUAUAUAUAUAUAUACAUAUAAGUAUAUAUAUAUAUAUGUAUAAAUAUGUAUAAUAUAUCUAUAUGUCACGUUUGUGGUCGCUUUUUUAUUUCCAUUGCUAUGUACAUUCAAUGUAUUACUCCGCCAUAUACAUAACAAACACGCACACACACAUAUCUUGUUUCACUUCUUCUCAAUAGUCGAGCGACAAAUUUUUUAUCUCUAAACACUUACUAAAGCGAUGUAUGUAAAGCGAUGAUAUAUAUAUAUAUAUAUAUAUAUAUAUAUAUAUAUAUAUAUAGAAAAAUGUAAAGAUAAAUAUAUGAAUCCUUCAAAUUAUUCAAUUUAUUGAUUACUUAUUAUUUCGCGAGUAAUAUAUAAAGCAUAAGGAUAAUAUAUUUAUGUGUGAUACAUAUGUGUGUGUGUUUAUUUUAUGUUUCUAUAUAUUAUAAAAAAUGUAAUUAUUUCAUUAGAAAAUUAUAGUCUAUAUUUAAAAUUCAUAUAUUAAUUGAAUUUGUCACGCUUUUCAUAUCCCGACAUAUUUGUAUCAUAUGUCUUUAUUAUUUUUUCUUGAAAAAAUUAAUAUAUGAAUUGACUCACGUUGUAUUGUUACGUAAUCGAGCUACAAAAUACACUUUGUUUCCUUCCUGAUGGUAUCAUCGCCACCUUGGAUAUGAUAACAAAUGUACAUGGUAUUUCAUCUCUUCGCAUAAUUAUAGAUUUUCAAGAAUUCUAUGAGAAUGAAAUAACACAAUAUUGUAUAUAUAUAUAUAUAUAUAUAUAGAGAGAGAGAGAGAGAGAGAGAGAAAGGGAGAAGGGAGAGGGUAAAUUCGGCAUGAAUUAGUAGCGUGUCUUUUUGAUAAUUUUACCAGUUAAGAAUAAAAGAAAAACAAGAUCAGGAAAGAUUUUCAUUUUUAUACAAUAUUUCGACGUGUCAGAUCUACGAAAGAGAAUUGUUUAAUUUCGUUAAUGUUUCAAGAAAUUAACCCAUUUAUAUCCAAGCGUGGAUAUAUCCGCGAGCUGUGACUGUCCUUUAUCAUCGAGCGCGGAUAUAUCCGCGAGACCGCCAUUACUUUUCAUUACCAGUUAUCGAAUAUUCUUCAGAUGUCACAGAUCACGUCUGAUCUCUUCAAUUUAUUAUAUUAUAAAUAAGUUUUAUUUUUGUUCUGUAAAUCUUUUAAACUGUCAUUAUGAGUAAAUGUUUUCAAUCUAUAUUUAAAUAUCAUCUAGCAAUGAUUCGAUAACACGAUAUACUGAUAGGCAUUUUCUUAUACAAAUAUCUGCAACUCUGACAAAAAGAAAAAGAACAUUAAAGCGAUACAUUUUAUGCUUAUCUAUGUCUUUACGAAAAGAAACAAUUUAUAAAUGUCAUGUUUGCGAUGUACCAUUAUGUAUUGAUUACUUUAACGAAUUCCACGAAAAAUAAAUUUGUUAUUUUAUCUAUAAAAUAAUUUUAAUUUUUUCUAUUUUAAUAAAAAAAAUAUAAAAUUCAUUGUUUGUGAUGUAUUAAACUAUUUUAAAAAGUAUAAUUCUGUUGUCAUGUACUGUACUUAUCGAACGACUACCGCACGGAUACGGGCCGAUCAUCAAUUGAACAUUACUGAUUUUUUUGAAUAUGGCACAUUAAGUAGACGCAUGAUGCGAAUGGGUUAAGAAACCAAUUUGGGAAUAAAGUUCGUUGAAGUCUAUUUGGAGACUGGCACCGACGAGAAAUGAAGAAAAAGACGGACAUAUUGGACGACUCAAGCGUUGAUUCAUCCUUUAUCUCGUCAUAUAAUUAUAUUAAUGGAUAGAUUUACAUAUGAACGUGUAGAACAAAUUGUACAUAUCUACAUAUAUAUAUAUAUCAUACACAUAUACAUAGAAAUUUUUUAUUAUUCUAAUAGAAACAAUAAAAUGAUAUUCGGGAAAGAAGCUAUGUCUUGUUGUAUAAUGAAAAAGUGAUCGUAAUCAAGUCCCAAGUUUAUCAAGUCAUCUCAUUUACAACCAUAGUGUCUUAAAAGCAAAAGUAAAUUGCAAUAUACUUUGCAACAGGUCAUAAAUAUAUCGAUUACUUUCUUCUAAAUAAUAUUAUU